UUAAGUUAUUAAGGGCGCACGGUGGAUGCCUUGGCACUAGAAGCCGAUGAAGGACGUUACUAACGACGAUAUGCUUUGGGGAGCUGUAAGUAAGCUUUGAUCCAGAGAUUUCCGAAUGGGGAAACCCAGCAUGAGUUAUGUCAUGUUAUCGAUAUGUGAAUACAUAGCAUAUCAGAAGGCACACCCGGAGAACUGAAACAUCUUAGUACCCGGAGGAAGAGAAAGAAAAUUCGAUUCCCUUAGUAGCGGCGAGCGAAACGGGAAGAGCCCAAACCAACAAGCUUGCUUGUUGGGGUUGUAGGACACUCUAUACGGAGUUACAAAGGACGACAUUAGACGAAUCAUCUGGAAAGAUGAAUCAAAGAAGGUAAUAAUCCUGUAGUCGAAAAUGUUGUCUCUCUUGAGUGGAUCCUGAGUACGACGGAGCACGUGAAAUUCCGUCGGAAUCUGGGAGGACCAUCUCCUAAGGCUAAAUACUCUCUAGUGACCGAUAGUGAACCAGUACCGUGAGGGAAAGGUGAAAAGCACCCCGGAAGGGGAGUGAAAUAGAACCUGAAACCGUGUGCUUACAAGUAGUCAGAGCCCGUUAAUGGGUGAUGGCGUGCCUUUUGUAGAAUGAACCGGCGAGUUACGAUUUGAUGCAAGGUUAAGCAGUAAAUGUGGAGCCGUAGCGAAAGCGAGUCUGAAUAGGGCGUUUAGUAUUUGGUCGUAGACCCGAAACCAGGUGAUCUACCCUUGGUCAGGUUGAAGUUCAGGUAACACUGAAUGGAGGACCGAACCGACUUACGUUGAAAAGUGAGCGGAUGAACUGAGGGUAGCGGAGAAAUUCCAAUCGAACCUGGAGAUAGCUGGUUCUCUCCGAAAUAGCUUUAGGGCUAGCCUCAAGUGAUGAUUAUUGGAGGUAGAGCACUGUUUGGACGAGGGGCCCCUCUCGGGUUACCGAAUUCAGACAAACUCCGAAUGCCAAUUAAUUUAACUUGGGAGUCAGAACAUGGGUGAUAAGGUCCGUGUUCGAAAGGGAAACAGCCCAGACCACCAGCUAAGGUCCCAAAAUAUAUGUUAAGUGGAAAAGGAUGUGGCGUUGCCCAGACAACUAGGAUGUUGGCUUAGAAGCAGCCAUCAUUUAAAGAGUGCGUAAUAGCUCACUAGUCGAGUGACACUGCGCCGAAAAUGUACCGGGGCUAAACAUAUUACCGAAGCUGUGGAUUGUCCUUUGGACAAUGGUAGGAGAGCGUUCUAAGGGCGUUGAAGCAUGAUCGUAAGGACAUGUGGAGCGCUUAGAAGUGAGAAUGCCGGUGUGAGUAGCGAAAGACGGGUGAGAAUCCCGUCCACCGAUUGACUAAGGUUUCCAGAGGAAGGCUCGUCCGCUCUGGGUUAGUCGGGUCCUAAGCUGAGGCCGACAGGCGUAGGCGAUGGAUAACAGGUUGAUAUUCCUGUACCACCUAUAAUCGUUUUAAUCGAUGGGGGGACGCAGUAGGAUAGGCGAAGCGUGCGAUUGGAUUGCACGUCUAAGCAGUAAGGCUGAGUAUUAGGCAAAUCCGGUACUCGUUAAGGCUGAGCUGUGAUGGGGAGAAGACAUUGAGUCUUCGAGUCGUUGAUUUCACACUGCCGAGAAAAGCCUCUAGAUAGAAAAUAGGUGCCCGUACCGCAAACCACACAGGUAGUCAAGAUGAGAAUUCUAAGGUGAGCGAGCGAACUCUCGUUAAGGAACUCGGCAAAAUGACCCCGUAACUUCGGGAGAAGGGGUGCUCUUUAGGGUUAACGCCCAGAAGAGCCGCAGUGAAUAGGCCCAAGCGACUGUUUAUCAAAAACACAGGUCUCUGCUAAACCGUAAGGUGAUGUAUAGGGGCUGACGCCUGCCCGGUGCUGGAAGGUUAAGAGGAGUGGUUAGCUUCUGCGAAGCUACGAAUCGAAGCCCCAGUAAACGGCGGCCGUAACUAUAACGGUCCUAAGGUAGCGAAAUUCCUUGUCGGGUAAGUUCCGACCCGCACGAAAGGCGUAACGAUUUGGGCACUGUCUCAACGAGAGACUCGGUGAAAUCAUAGUACCUGUGAAGAUGCAGGUUACCCGCGACAGGACGGAAAGACCCCGUGGAGCUUUACUGUAGCCUGAUAUUGAAAUUCGGCACAGCUUGUACAGGAUAGGUAGGAGCCUUUGAAACGUGAGCGCUAGCUUACGUGGAGGCGCUGGUGGGAUACUACCCUAGCUGUGUUGGCUUUCUAACCCGCACCACUUAUCGUGGUGGGAGACAGUGUCAGGCGGGCAGUUUGACUGGGGCGGUCGCCUCCUAAAAGGUAACGGAGGCGCUCAAAGGUUCCCUCAGAAUGGUUGGAAAUCAUUCAUAGAGUGUAAAGGCAUAAGGGAGCUUGACUGCGAGACCUACAAGUCGAGCAGGGUCGAAAGACGGACUUAGUGAUCCGGUGGUUCCGCAUGGAAGGGCCAUCGCUCAACGGAUAAAAGCUACCCCGGGGAUAACAGGCUUAUCUCCCCCAAGAGUUCACAUCGACGGGGAGGUUUGGCACCUCGAUGUCGGCUCAUCGCAUCCUGGGGCUGUAGUCGGUCCCAAGGGUUGGGCUGUUCGCCCAUUAAAGCGGUACGCGAGCUGGGUUCAGAACGUCGUGAGACAGUUCGGUCCCUAUCCGUCGUGGGCGUAGGAAAUUUGAGAGGAGCUGUCCUUAGUACGAGAGGACCGGGAUGGACAUACCUCUGGUGUACCAGUUGUCGUGCCAACGGCAUAGCUGGGUAGCUAUGUGUGGACGGGAUAAGUGCUGAAAGCAUCUAAGCAUGAAGCCCCCCUCAAGAUGAGAUUUCCCAACUUCGGUUAUAAGAUCCCUCAAAGAUGAUGAGGUUAAUAGGUUCGAGGUGGAAGCAUGGUGACAUGUGGAGCUGACGAAUACUAAUCGAUCGAAGACUUAAUCAA
rnacentral:rRNA from 1 species